rnacentral:rRNA from 1 species
AUUGAACGCUGGCGGCAUGCCUUACACAUGCAAGUCGAACGGUAACAGGUUAAGCUGACGAGUGGCGAACGGGUGAGUAAUAUAUCGGAACGUGCCCAGUCGUGGGGGAUAACUGCUCGAAAGAGCAGCUAAUACCGCAUACGACCUGAGGGUGAAAGCGGGGGAUCGCAAGACCUCGCGCGAUUGGAGCGGCCGAUAUCAGAUUAGGUAGUUGGUGGGGUAAGAGCCCACCAAGCCAACGAUCUGUAGCUGGUCUGAGAGGACGACCAGCCACACUGGGACUGAGACACGGCCCAGACUCCUACGGGAGGCAGCAGUGGGGAAUUUUGGACAAUGGGCGCAAGCCUGAUCCAGCCAUGCCGCGUGCGGGAAGAAGGCCUCGG